AGAUUUUCAGCAAGACAACAACAACCGUGAAAAAGGGAUUCCCGGAGGUGAGAAGUGGGAGAGAGGGGAAAAGAAUAUAUUCAAUAUUGUGAAAUGUAUAUAUUAACCCUUAAAAAAUAUUAAUAUACAUUUAACCCCUUAUAAUUUUUUUAUUAUAUAUAGGUCAUUACUUUUUCCCAAAUUUCAGGGGGGCAAUUACCCUCCCUUUCCCUCCCCUAGAUACGCCCCUUCUUCUCCGUCAAGCCUUCCAGUAGAUAUUUGUUAUUCCAAGCUUGGAGAAUAUUGAAGGUAUAUUUACUUCUCCUAAUUUUUUAGUUAACAUAUCUGCGAUUUCGAAUUUUGUUUCAAAUUGUUUUAGAUUUAUUUUACCUUUAAUGAUCAUUUUUCUUAUGAAAUAACAAUCGAUUUCUAUGCAUGUGUUUAAUUCUUUCAUGGAAUGCAAGAUUGUUUGCCAGAUGUAUGGCUGAUUUUUUGUCACAAUAUAAUAGUGUUGGUUUUGUAACUGUUAUUUUUAGGUCAUCAGCUAAUUCAUGAAUCCACUUGAUUUCACAUCUGGCUUGAGCUAUUUCUCUAUAUUCAUAAUUUACAUGAAGAUCUGGAUAUUGUGUUUUUCUUAUUUGAAUUCCAUGAAAUCAGUAAGCUUCCUAGCAUGAUGCAAAACCCAGAAACACUCGGAGGUCGUUGAUUUCUUAGGGGAAAUCACUUGUUAUUUGGAAGGAAUUGCCUAGUAGCUUGGGACGGCAGUUUCAAGCGAUAUUUGUGUUGAAUUAGGUGAUUUCUAAGAAGUGUAUUGGGUAUUGUAAAGACCUUUGGUUCCACAUCUGUUGGAUCCUUCCGACGUAAAAUGAACAAAAUCCAAAUUCACGUUGAUGGUGAAGAUAAUUGUACGAUUGUAUCAUUAUGUACACAAUCAGGUUGUCAUAAGAAUUAAAAUAAUUUUUCAGUAAGAUUUCGUAGGGUUCAAUUAAUGUAUGGUAAUAAUUGGGGCAUUUUAAGUGCUUUCUCAAAUUUAUUCCUCCAAACGAGAUAAUUCUUACUUGUCGUAAGAUUAGAGCACAUAGAUUGUAUUCUAGGUUCCCUCCAUCUUUAUUUUCUCUCCUGUUUAAACUCAUCCUCUG
rnacentral:lncRNA from 1 species